rnacentral:tRNA from 1 species
CGUAAUGUAGCUUAACCAAAGCACCUCGCUUACACCGAGAAAAUGUCUGUGAAAACCAGGCCCUUACGA